CGCUGCAUGGCCCCGAGCGCGGCGCGCGGGUCCUGCGGCGGGAGGAGAGCCGGCCGGCGAGCGGGCGAGAGCGCACGCAGCGCCGCUGCCUACCCCCGACUACAGCGUCUCCUGCCGGGCGGAGCGCGGCUUCCGACAACGGGCGGGGCGGAGCGGCCCAGGGAGGCGUAGCCCGAAGCUCCGACCGCCGCCCGCCCCGCCCUGGCUUCUUGGAGCCGCCCCCACUGCUAGCCACUCAGGAACCUUCCAGAAGCGCGGUUCCAAGACCGGCCACCCGGAGGGCGGGCGGACCGGUUUCUCCCGGCGAGGUCGCAGUGGGCGAUGGGGAGCCCCAAGGGUGGGCGGAGAGCUGACGGGCCGGCCGCGCUGGUUAAGGCCCCGCACCUGCUGCCCCAGUGACCUUGAACGAUUCCGCUCUGCGGCGGGUGUCCCUAAACUAGCGGUUUAGGGUAUCAGAAAGAGGAAGAAGAACUUGUAGAUUGAGAGAUCAAUGCAAUGCAAUGUGUGAUUCAUGAUUGGAUCCUGAUUCAAAGCAAACAAACAGAAGAAAAAAAUGGAAUUACCUGAGACAAUCAGAGAAACGUGAAGACACUGGAUAUUUGGCAAAAUUAAAGAGUUACAAGCCUGGCACGGCGGCUUAUGCCUGUAAUCCCAGCACUUUGGGAGGCCGAUAGGGGUAAAUUGCUUGAGUCCAAGAGUUUGAGAUCAGUCUGGAGAACAUAGGGGGACCCCAUCUCUACAAAAAAUAAGAAAUAAAAAAUUAGCCAGGCGUGGUGUGCACCUGUAGUCUUAGCUACUUGAGAGGCUGAGGCAGGAGGAUUGCUUGAACACAGGAGUUCGAGGCUGCAGUAAGCCAUGAUCAUGCCACUGCACUCUGCACUCCAGCCUGGGCAACAAAAUGAGAACCUAUUAUCUUAACAAAAGAAAUCUAAUGAGAAGUGGGUGUGGAUUGAGAGGAAACAAGGUUGCUGCAACUGAGUGAUGGUACUGCGGUACAUGGACAUUCACUGUACUAGUCUCUCUGAAUUUGUAUAUGUUAGAAAUUUCAUGUAAUAAAAAUUAUUUUUCCUGUAA